AUAAAGAAAGUAAGGAAGGGCGCAGGGUGGAUGCCUUGGCUCUCAGAGGCGAUGAAGGACGUGAUAAGCUGCGAAAAGCCGCGGGGAUCGGCACAUACGAAUUGAUCCGCGGAUAUCCGAAUGGGGCAACCUAUCUGGCUGAAGGCCAGAUGUCUGCAGGCCUUGAGCCUGUGGAAGCAAACCUGCUGAACUGAAACAUCUAAGUAGGCAGAGGAGGAGAAAACAAUAGUGAUUCCGUAAGUAGUGGCGAGCGAACGCGGAUUAGCCCAAACCAUGCGUGUUACGGCACGCACGGGGUUGUAGGACCUGCAUAAUUACUUCGGCAUGAACCUGAAAGGUCUGGGAAGGCCUGCCAUAGAGCGUGAGAGCCGUGUAAGGGUAAAUAAAGAAGUAAGGCGGGUAUCCUGAGUAGGACGGGGUAGGAGAAGCCCUGUUUGAACCGGCCGGCACCAUCCGGUAAGGCUAAAUACUCCUGAGAGACCGAUAGUGAACCAGUACCGUGAGGGAAAGGUGAAAAGCACCCCGCACAGGGGAGUGAAAUAGAACCUGAAACCCUGCGCUUACAAGCGGUCGGAGUCCCGCCGUUCUUCGGAACGGAAGGGGAUGACGGCGUGCCUUUUGCAUAAUGAGCCUACGAGUUGAUCUUCACUGGCAAGGUUAAGCCCCAGGAAGGGGCGCAGCCGAAGCGAAAGCGAGUCUGAACAGGGCGCAUAGUCAGUGGAGUCAGACGCGAAACCUUGUGAUCUACCCUUGAGCAGGAUGAAGUGGCCGUAACAGGUCAUGGAGGUCCGAACCAGUAUGCGUUGAAAAGCAUUUGGAUGACUUGAGGGUAGGGGUGAAAGGCCAAUCAAACUGGGAAAUAGCUCGUACUCCCCGAAAUGUUUUUAGGAACAGCGUGAUGGUAAAAUGACCCGGAGGUAGAGCUACUAAUUGGAUGCGGGGGAGUCACAUCCUACCAAAUCCAGCUAAACUCCGAAUGCCGGGUACAUGUACAUUGCAGUGAGGCCUGGGGUGCUAAGGUCCCGGGCCGAGAGGGAAAGAACCCAGACCAACAGCUAAGGUCCCCAAAUGUGCGCUAAGUUGAACUAACGAGGUCCGGUUGCAGAGACAGCUAGGAUGUUGGCUUGGAAGCAGCCAUUCAUUUAAAGAGUGCGUAACAGCUCACUAGUCGAGCGACCGGGCAUGGAUAAUAAACGGGCAUCAAGCGCGCUACCGAAGCUUUGGUUUCAGAAUUUAUUCUGAAAGGUAGGGGAGCAUUCCAAUCGCAGUGAAGGUAUUCCGUAAGGGAUGCUGGAGGGAUUGGAAAAGCAAAUGUAGGCAUAAGUAACGAUAAGGCGGGUGAGAAACCCGCCCACCGAAAGGAUAAGGUUUCCUGAUCAACGCUAAUCGGAUCAGGGUUAGUCGGGACCUAAGGAGUCCCCCGCGCCUAGCGGGGCCAUCCGAUGGAAAAUCGGUUAAUAUUCCGAUACGAUCAAUGGGUGCGACGAGGCGACGCAGGAGUGACACCGCCGCCGGCUGACGGAAUAGCCGGUUAAAGGGAGGUAGGUAUAGGCCGGGGAGGCAAAUCCCCCUGGUUUGCCGAGACCUGAUAGUACCACAAAGCUUCGGCUGCGUGGAUAGUGCGGGUAAUCAGACUGCCGAGAAAACCCUCUAAGCAUCAGCCCAUUGAUCCUCGUACCGCAAACCGACACAGGUAUCCGGGGAGAGAAUCCUAAGGUGCUCGAGUGAGUCGUGGCUAAGGAACUCGGCAAAAUGGCCCUGUAACUUCGGGAGAAGGGGCCCCCCGUAGCAAUACGGGGGCGCAGUGAAACGGCCCAGGCGACUGUUUAGCAAAAACACAUGGCUGUGCCAAAUCGUAAGAUGAGGUAUACGGCCUGACACCUGCCCGGUGCCGGAAGGUUAAGAGGGGAUGUUAGUCCAGUAAUGGGCGAAGCAUUGAAUCGAAGCCCCGGUAAACGGCGGCCGUAACUAUAACGGUCCUAAGGUAGCGAAAUUCCUUGUCGGGUAAGUUCCGACCUGCACGAAUGGUGUAACGAUCUGGGCACUGUCUCAGCCACGAGCUCGGUGAAAUUGAAGUAACGGUGAAGAUGCCGUUUACCCGCAACGGGACGGAAAGACCCCAUGAACCUUCACUACAACUUCGCAUUGAUAUCGGCUACAGGAUGUGUAGGAUAGGUGGGAGACUAUGAAGCGGGGUCGCAAGGCUCUGUGGAGUCACCCUUGAAAUACCACCCUUUCUGUAGCUGGUGUCUAACCCGUUAUACGGGGAGAGUGCGUGGUGGGUAGUUUGACUGGGGUGGUCGCCUCCAAAAAAGUAACGGAGGCUUUCAAAGGUUCCCUCAGCACGCUUGGUAACCGUGCGUGGAGUGCAAUAGCAAAAGGGAGCUUGACUGUGAGACCGACAAGUCGAACAGGGUCGAAAGACGGAUAUAGUGAUCCGGUGGUUCUGUAUGGAAGGGCCAUCGCUCAAAGGAUAAAAGGUACUCUGGGGAUAACAGGCUGAUCUCCCCCAAGAGCUCAUAUCGACGGGGAGGUUUGGCACCUCGAUGUCGGCUCGUCACAUCCUGGGGCUGGAGAAGGUCCCAAGGGUUGGGCUGUUCGCCCAUUAAAGUGGCACGCGAGCUGGGUUCAGAACGUCGCGAGACAGUUCGGUCCCUAUCUGUUGUGGGCGUAGGAAGCUUGAGUGGAGCUGACCUUAGUACGAGAGGACCGGGUUGGACUGGCCGCUGGUGUACCAGUUGUUCUGCCAAGGGCACGGCUGGGUAGCUACGCCGGGAAGAGAUAAGCGCUGAAAGCAUCUAAGUGCGAAACUCGCCACAAGAUGAGGCUUCCCUUGAGGGACGUCGAAGACGACGACGUAGAUAGGCUGCAGGUCUACAGGUGGUAACAUCAAAGCCGAGCAGUACUAAUUACCCGAUGGCUUUCUUU
rnacentral:rRNA from 1 species